rnacentral:SRP_RNA from 1 species
GCCGGGUGUGGUGGCACGCACCUGUAAUCCCAGCUACUUGGGAGGUUGAGGCAGGAGAAUUGCUUGAAUCCGGGAGGCGGAGGUUGCAGUGAGCUGAGACCGUGCCAUUGCACUCCAGCCUGUGUGACAGAGCGAGACUCCAUCCCCCUACCCCCCCAAAAAAAAAGACGGAGUCUUGCUCUGUCACCCAGGCUGGAGUGCAGUGGCGUGAUCUCGGCUCACUGCAACCUCCACCUCCUGGGUUCAAGCGAUUCUCAUGCCUCA